AUUGAACGCUGGCGGCAGGCCUAACACAUGCAAGUCGAGCGGUAGCACAGGGAGCCUGCUCCUGGGUGACGAGCGGAGGACGGGUGAGUAAUUUCCGGGAAACUGCCUGAUGGAGGGGGAUAACUACUGGAAACGGUAGCUAAUACCGCAUAACGUCGCAAGACCAAAGAGGGGGACCUUCGGGCCUCUUGCCAUCUGAUUUGCCCAGAUGGGAUUAGCUAGUAGGUGGGGUAACGGCUCACGUAGGCGACGAUCCCUAGCUGGGCGGAGAGGAGGACCAGCGCAACUGGAACUGAGACACGGACCAGACUCCUACGGGAGGCAUCAAGGGGGAAUAUUGCGCAAUGGGCGCAAGCCUGAUGCAGCCAGGCCGCGUGUAGGAAGAAGGCCGUCGGGUUGUAAAGUACUUUCAGCGGGGAGGAAGGUGUUGAGGUUAAUAACCUCAGCAAUUGACGUUACCCGCAGAAGAAGCACCGGCUAACUCCGUGCCAGCCGCCGCGGUAAUAC
rnacentral:rRNA from 1 species